GCUGCCAAAGGUGGCGGAGGUGCAGGUCCUGGUGCUCGAUGGUCGAGGCCAUCUCCUGGGCUGCCUGGCGGCCAUCGUGGCUAAGCAGGUACUGCUGGGCCAGAAGAUGGUGGUCGUGUACCGGAGGGCAUCAACAUUUCUGGCAAUUUCUAUAGAAACAAGUUGAAGUACCUACCUUUCCUCUGCAAGAGGAUGAACACCAACCCUUCCCUAGGCCCCUACCACUUCCAAGCCCCCACCACUUCCAGGCCCCCAGCCACAUCUUCUGGUGGACCGUGGCAGGCAUGCUUUCCCACCAGACCAAGCAAGGCCAGGCUGCCCUGGACCGCCUCAAGGUGUUUGACCACAUCCCACCGCCCUGCAACAAGAAAAAGUGGAUGGUGGUUCCCGCAGCCCUCAAGGUCGUGCAUCUGAAGCCUACAAGAAAGUUUGCCUAUCUGGGGCACCUGGCUCAGGAGGUUGGCUGGAAGUACCAGGCAGUGACAGCCACCCUGGAGGAGAAGAGGAAUGAGAAAGCCAAGAUCCACUACCCAAAGAAGAAACAGCCCAUGAGGCUACGGAAACAGGCCGAGAAGAACGUGGAGAAGAAAACUGACAAAUACACAGAAGUCUAGACCUACGGACUCCUGCUCUGA